CCCCCCCGCCUAGCGGUGACCUCCCCUUUACUGUUUGGUUUGGGGAAGGGGGGGUGGGUGGUUUAUGAUGGUGACAUCAUACACCAUGCAAAGGGUUCUGUGUUGACUCUUUUUCCCACCCCCCCCCCAAGGAAAACAAAUGUGUAAAAAAAUCAAAAGUCCUUCAGGACAAGUGGACACCUUGUUGUCCACAUUGUCCUGAAUCUUUUCAGUGCAUAUCUGCUGUAUUUGUUUUGUUCUUACUCUCUCUCUCUCUCUCUCUCUCUCUCUCCCUCUCUCUCAAACAUAUCUUUGCUUCUUGGAAAAUCAGAGAUCAUCCGCUCUGUCACUCUCGUUCUCACUCACUGUAUUGCCAAGACUAUUGCUAUGCGCAGCUGUAAAAACGGUGUAAAAUGGUAACCGUUUUGUGUCCGAUGAUCUCAGUUAUAAGGGAGAAGAGGUGGGCGAGCCAUUUUAAGACAUUUUUUUCCGCACAGCUGGUAUGUAUGCACUAUGGGGAUGCAAAGAAGGGAGCAGCCUGGUCAAAGCCUAUCUAGCGGGUUCUAGUGGAACUGUGGGUUUAACCCUGCUCUCUCUCAGUAGGCCUGGUUGUCAGGAGAGAGAGAGAGAGAGAAAGCCUCUCGACACAAAACUGAAUAGCAGACGCAAUCCAGCCUGUGAGGAGUGUUGGUGUUCUCUUGCUGCUGGCUGCUGGUUGCCCCCCCCCGACUAGGAGCGGGAGGAUACAUGCCCCUUCACCUCCCAGCAUAGCCGUGGCAGUCUGAAUCCAAAAAAAACCAAAACACCAAAGGAGAGAAACAACAAGGGAGGAGAAUUAUGCGCCGGUGAUUCCAGAGGCUACCAGAGUUUAAAUCAUCACCAUCACCAUCACCACCUCCCCGAUUCCCUUUCCACUCGUUAAAUAUUGUCUGAUCUGCACGCUUCUAUUUUUAAAGAGGCAAUAAGAUCCGGCAGGGAAGAGGGCAGAGCGGCUCCUGGGAGGGGAGUGAGAUGGCAUUAACAUGAUGAUUGGUAUCGCCUGGCCUGCAGCUGCUUGGAGACUGCAGGAAUAAUAGGGCUGAAACGGAGAUCCCAGAUCAGCCAGGCCGUCAUCCACCAGAGGGGAGUUUGAAAGGGGUAGGGAGGGCCGCUGAGCUUAGAGGAUGAGAAGUGUAACAUGCUGAGCACAUCAGAUUUAUCAGGGUUUGAUUUUUUUUUUUUUCUCUUCAUAUCUCAUCUCCAGAGGAUGAUCUCCCAGAAAGCAGUUGUAGCAGCACGUUGUUCAUGCGUCAAUGUGAAUCAACAAGGCAAAAAAAACUCAAAAGAAAGAAAAGAAAAAAAUAUGCAGUUUUUACGGAUAAUGAUUUUUAUCUGUCAGGCUAGAUUGACUCUGCUGAGAGCUGUAGCUGGCUUAAUCUGUAGGGACAGGUUGGAUGACAGGUUUUUAGUUUUUUUUUUUCAUUUGCCAGUUUCAACUCUCUGAUGUAGCACUCCAUCUGCAUUUGAUUUUGCUCAUCAACGACUACAGUGACUCGGCUUUCAGACCCAUUUGUACAGUACAUGCAUUUACCUCAGAAUGCAUACCCUGCACUUGUGGUGGCUCAAAUGUUAGUUGACAGUCCAGUGUGUACCUAAAACUUUCAAACUUUCAAAACUCUUACGCUUCAUAGUAACGUGUGCGAAACAUAAAUUCCCGGAAGAAGAAAAAAAACUACACAGAUCUGCUUUUAAGCACAAAGCAAUAAUGACUUGAGUGCUCGUGAUGUGACGUAUAUUAGGCAGUGGCAAUAAAAACUUCUGCUUUGUGAUUUAAUGUCAUGCUACUGCUUUGUGGAUGUUUGUAUAGAAACGCCUAUAUUCCUGCUUUAAAAAAACCCAGUGACCAUAAUGUGAUCGCACCCUGUUGACCCCUCCCAGUAGCCACAGAAGGGGCUGGCUCAAUUGGGCCUGAUUUGUGAAAACACAACAAAGUAACAAGGGAGGAUUUAGUUAGCAAACCAGUAAAGCUGAACAAAAACAGGAGUGUUAAGAUGUUUCGUUUUCUACUACAGAAUACAUUACUAAUCUAUUACAUCUGCAGCAAGUGAUGAGGAAAAGCCUGCAGUGAAAAUUGGCAACGUUGAAGGCAACCAGUUUAAUCGAAUGCAGUGGAAUCAUCUAGAAUCAUUCAGCAUUAGGGAGAACGAGGACAUAGGAGUCAAACGUAAAUAACAAUCGACAAUGUGAAAAGGGCUGGCUCAGGUGUUUUAAGGGACUGAGGGACUUUCGUGGGGAUGAAAUAAUAAAAAAAAAGAUAACUAACAGGCUGGCCCUGUGUAAAGAAAGCUAUUUUUCCAUUUGAAUCAUUGUGUUUGUUUACUGGUUUUCCUUUUUCAUGGUCAGUAUUUUAUGUUUUUAUUUUGUCUCGGAGGGGCCGUGUUACGUCUGGAGCUGAGGACAGUUUUGGCAGUGUGCAACUUCAGGUGGUGAUUUGCAAGCCUCAGUUCUUUUGGUCACACCAGAAAUUCCUCUGCAUUGCCUAGCAACAGUUGUAGUGAGAGGGCACUGAGAUUGGCUCUCUCUGUUUGGGAGGGAAGGAGGACUAAGAGUGGAAGAGACUGGAAGCUCCAGUUGUAACACUCUUUCUUUGCUUCUGGUAGAAGUGAAAGGACUUGCAACCUUCCUGUUUUUUGUUUUGUUUUGUUUGUUUGUUUUUUUUCCAUCGGAAUGAUCUGUCUCUCUUUGUUUAAGAGGUUAUUAACUAGCGCACUAACCUUGGCUCACGCGUGGAAAAGAAAGCUGUUUCUUGAACCUUCCGGGCCAAUGUGCUGUCAUUGUGUAGUUAUGGGGGUACAGCUAAGCAUUGAAGCAUGUCCUCUAAAUAGUUAUUCCGUUUGUACAUAUCCUGUUUUAUAUAAUCUUUGUAAGACAUGCAGAUGAAAAGAUUGUCAGAGGAAAACUGACUGUUCAGUGACUGAUACCAAACUAAUGUGAGUGAUGUAAAACUGUUGAAGCCCUAUAUUUAUUUCGAUAUGGUGUUACGUGUGGCUUUUUGGAUCUGGUUUGUUUUGAUUUGUGAGUUUGAAAAAUGUUUCUGUUUUGACUUUUACAUUUCUCGCGAUAAUAAAGUUUGCCUUGUGUGGCAUCAUUCUCAUCACAUUGUAGUGUUUAAUCUCAGAUCUUGGGAAACUAGCAACAUGCAUGUACAUACAAGUCAAAAGGUCUACAUCUUCAGUCUGACUUAGAAAUGAAAAAGACAUCUAGAAAGGAAAUAUGGGUAUCCAGUGCACCUCUUAUGCAGAUACAGGUUGUAACCAGAGUGGUCUAGCCUACUGUUAAGAAUUAAAUGUAUGGUUGAGAGUAGAAAUGUAACCAUAUUAACUUACAUGGGAAACUUGAUUGUAUUAAAAACCAUUAAUUAAUGAAUUUCUGAAGGACAAUGUGCCCAACUCCACUUAAGUAAAGGGGAACUAAAAAAAACAAACCGUUAAAGCACCUUUCGUCACAGCCACAAACGAAUCUGCCACUUCCCACUCUACGAGCGACACUGCCAUGCUAGCCCACAAUAAUAGAGCUUUGAUGAGUGCAUUCGUCUCAG
ensembl:lncRNA